rnacentral:rRNA from 1 species
AUAAAAUGUAAUAAUAAAUAUUAGAAUAGUAUUAGUUAUGUUCUUAAAACUUAAAAAAUUUGGUAGUAUUUUUUCUUAUCAGAGGAACUUGUUUUAUAAUUGAUAAUCCCCAUUAAAUCUUACUUAAUUUAUUAAAAUUUGUAUACCGUCGUCAUCAGAAUAUCUAAAAAAAGAAAAAAUUUUCUAAAAUUAAAAAUAUUAAUAAUGUCAGAUCAAGGUGCAGUUUAUAAUUAAGAAAAAAUUAGUUACAAUAAAAUAAUUUAUGUUGGAUAUAUAAAUGAAAUAUUAUAUUGAAAUUGGAUUUGAAAGUAAAUUUAAAAAAUAAAUUAAAUUGAGUAAGAUCAAAAAUAUGC